GAGGAUUCCCCUAGUAACGGCGAGUGAAGCGGGAAGAGCUCAAAUUUGAAAUCUGGCGGUCUUGUGGCCGUCCGAGUUGUAGUCUGGAGAAGCGUUUUCUACGUCGGACCGUGUACAAGUCCCUUGGAACAGGGCGUCACAGAGGGUGAGAAUCCCGUCUUUGACACGGACYGCCGACGUUUUGCGAUGCGCUCUCGAAGAGUCGAGUUGUUUGGGAAUGCAGCUCAAAACGGGUGGUAAAUUCCAUCUAAAGCUAAAUAUUGGCGAAAGACCGAUAGCGAACAAGUACCGUGAGGGAAAGAUGAAAAGCACUUUGGAAAGAGAGUUAAACAGUACGUGAAAUUGUUGAAAGGGAAACGCUUGAAGUCAGUCGCGUCUUUUGGGAUUCAGCCUUGUGGGUUUCRCUUGGCGCAUUUCCCGAGGUGACGGGCCAGCAUCGAUCUCGAUCGUCGGAGAAAGGCUUURGGAACGUGGCACCUUCGGGUGUGUUAUAGCCUUCGGUCGCAUGCGACGGUUGGGAUCGAGGAUCGCAGCACGCCUCUUU
rnacentral:rRNA from 1 species